GGGAAGGUGGCUCAGUGGUAGGGUGCUUGCCUUGCAUGCAUGAGGCCCUAGGUUUGAUUCCUCAGUACCA
rnacentral:tRNA from 1 species